rnacentral:rRNA from 1 species
GGGAGGCAGCAGUGAGGAAUCUUGCGCAAUGGGCGAAAGCCUGACGCAGCGACGCCGCGUGAAGGAUGACGGCCUUCGGGUUGUAAACUUCUUUUAAGUGGGAAGAAUCAAAUGACGGUACCACUUGAAUAAGCCCCGGCUAACUACGUGCCAGCAGCCGCGGUAAUACGUAGGGGGCGAGCGUUGUCCGAAUUUACUGGGCGUAAAGCGCGCGUAGGCGGACCUUUAAGUGGAGGGUGAAAUGCCGGGGCUCAACCCCGGAACUGCCUUCCAAACUGGGGGUCUUGAGGUAUGGAGAGGGAUGUGGAAUUCCUGGUGUAGCGGUGAAAUGCGUAGAUAUCAGGAGGAACACCCGUGGCGAAGGCGGCAUCCUGGCCAUAAUCUGACGCUGAGGUGCGAAAGCUAGGGGAGCGAACGGGAUUAGAUACCCCGGUAGUCCU